UUCAGGUUACAGUAUACUAAAUACUUUUGGCGUUUAAUUCUAUACCCUCUAAAAACAAAAUCGUCAUUUAUUUGAUGACACAAUUCUCUGUAUGGGCACUUGCCAUGACUUUAUUAUUGAACAUGUCUGUGUGCAUGUGGUAGGGAAAACAUUGCUGCAUACUAGUAGAAAUUCACUGUUUUGCUUUAGGUUGAAGACGGUAUAGUACCAGAAAGGCCGUUUACCAAGAAGGCCUUCUCAAAAAGGCCGCAUAAGUGAACCAAAAAGGUGUUGGCGGGAUACCAUCAUCAACUGGAGAUAAGCCGAUUUCCACAAGAACCAGCUUUUCUGCUUUUGAAGCAGGAAUUUUAAUGGAAAUGUUGGCUGCCAAAUGUAGUUGGAGCAGUAGACGGGAGUGUAAUUCUAAUUAUAAAACCAGCUGAAUCUGAAGAAGCUGAUGUGUGAAGGAAAGGGUUUAUUAACAUUACUGAGCGGCUGUCAUUGAUGCCAACAUGUGAUGCCUGCAUCGCACUGGUGGAUGCCUGCCUUUCCAAGCCAAAUGAGUGCUGUGAAACAGCGAAUGCUGUGAAACAGCAAAAAAUUGCAUGCGCCUGCACAACCUGUGCUUGGAAUUAUUCAUUCCGCUGAUAGAGGUAGAAGUUUUGGACAUGAUGGAUCCUGCGGUUACAAACAACGCACCAGUAAAGAGAGCAGCAGUCAAUAAGAGGCAGCAGCUGAUCGAACUGUUUAGUUGAAAAUGUC